rnacentral:rRNA from 1 species
CUAAUACAUGCAAGUCGAACGGGGAAAGUAGCAAUAUGAGUACUAGUGGCGCACGGGUGAGUAACGCGUGGGUAUCUGCCUUGGAGUGGGGGAUAACAAGUCGAAAGAUUUGCUAAUACCGCAUAAGACCACUUUCAUUAGUGGUAAAAGAUUUAUCGCUUCAAGAUGAGCCUGCGUAAGAUUAGCUAGUUGGUAGGGUAAUGGCCUACCAAGGCGAUGAUCUUUAACUGGUCUGAGAGGAUGACCAGUCACACUGGAACUGAGACACGGUCCAGACUCCUACGGGAGGCAGCAGUAGGGAAUAUUGCGCAAUGGGGGAAACCCUGACGCAGCGACGCCGCGUGAGCGAUGAAGGCCUUCGGGUCGUAAAGCUCUGUCGUAUGGGAAUAAACAAAUGAAUGUACCAUGCAAGAAAGGAUCGGCUAACUUCGUGCCAGCAGCCGCGGUAAGACGAGGGAUCCUAGCGUUGUUCGGAAUCAUUGGGCGUAAAGCGGGCGUAGGUGGCUAUUUAAGUCAGUUGUGAAAGCCUGGGGCUCAACCCCAGAAGUGCAAUUGAUACUAUUUAGCUUGAGUGUGGAAAAGGUAACUAGAAUUCCUGGUGUAGUGGUAAAAUACGUAGAUAUCAGGAGGAAUGCCGGUUGCGAAGGCGGGUUACUAGUCCAACACUGACACUGAGGCCCGAAAGCGUGGGGAUCAAACAGGAUUAGAUACCCUGGUAGUCCACGCCAUAAACGAUGAAUACUCGUUGUUGGAGGUAUUGACCCCUUCAGUGACUAAGCUAACGCGUUAAGUAUUCCGCCUGGGAAGUACGGUCGCAAGAUUAAAACUCAAAGAAAUUGACGGGGGCCCG